AGAGUUUGAUCCUGGCUCAGAACAAACGCUGGCGGCGUGCAUAACACAUGCAAGUCUAACGGGAAAGUCGGCUUCGGCUGGCAAGUACCGUGGCGAACGGGUGAGUAACACGUGGGUAAUCUAACCUCGAGUUUGGGAUAACCUUGCGAAAGCGGGGCUAAUACCGAAUAAGACCACGCUUGGUUCGCCAAGUGCGGUAAAAGGCGGCCUCUUCUUGAAAGCUGUCGCUUGAGGAUGAGCCCGCGGCCUAUUAGCUAGUUGGUGGGGUAAUGGCCUACCAAGGCGACGAUGGGUAGCCGGCCUGAGAGGGUGUACGGCCACACUGGCACUGAGAUACGGGCCAGACUCCUACGGGAGGCAGCAGUGGGGAAUUUUGCGCAAUGGGGGAAACCCUGACGCAGCAACGCCGCGUGAGUGAUGAAGGCCUUCGGGUCGUAAAGCUCUUUUAGUGGGGAAGAAUCCCUUGCGGGUUAAUACCUCGCGAGGAUGACGGUACCCACAGAAAAAGUUCCGGCUAACUACGUGCCAGCAGCCGCGGUAAUACGUAGGGAGCAAGCGUUGUUCGGAAUUAUUGGGCGUAAAGAGCGCGUAGGCGGUUCGGUAAGUCUGACGUGAAAUCCCGGAGCUUAACUCCGGAACUGCGUUGGACACUGCCGAGCUUGAGUGUGGGAGAGGAGAGUGGAAUUCCCAGUGUAGAGGUGAAAUUCGUAGAUAUUGGGAGGAACACCCGUGGCGAAGGCGGCUCUCUGGACCACAACUGACGCUGAGGCGCGAAAGCUAGGGUAGCAAACGGGAUUAGAUACCCCGGUAGUCCUAGCCGUAAACGAUGGGCACUAGGUGUUGGAGGUAUCGACCCCUCCAGUGCCGCAGCUAACGCAUUAAGUGCCCCGCCUGGGGAGUACGGUCGCAAGACUAAAACUCAAAGGAAUUGACGG
rnacentral:rRNA from 1 species